UUCUUAUAUUGGCAAGCUUUUAAAUUAUUUAAAGUUGCAGAAGAAUUGUUUAUUAAUGUGAUGUCGAAGUUUGGGGUGAUUAGCCUUAUCUCGUUAAAUUUUGUUCAGCAUGAAACAGUCUGAACAGCAAUCCUCGAUUUUGUCAACAAUCUAAAACGUGCUAAGGAGUAGUCAUUCGUCGGUAAGAACAUACUUACUUACAUUGUUAAACUACUCAAAAACUCUUUUAAAAGCCUACAAUGCAUUAAGUCUAGUACACAUGUUACAAAAAUGUCGAUAAUUAAUGGUCGUUGAUGAAAUGUAACUUGAAAGACAUGUUUUAGUAUGAAAUGUGUAUGCAGGUGUAUUAUAGUCAGUUUUUACACAUAUUGUUAUGUAGCAUACGUUAAAAAAUAUUGUAUGUUUUUCCUAGAAUAUUGAGUUUGUAUCAAUCAUGCUUUCAGUCAUUUCCAUACAGAAUUUCCUCGACACGUACAAUGUAUACACUGUACAUGUGGUUUUGAUAUCUGUAUCUCAUUCACACUGUUAACUUUAUGUCUUAUUUAUCUAUUAACGAUGAGAGUGUUUAUGAAUCAAGGGUCUGCAUUUGUCAUGUAAAUAUAAUAUUAUACGAUUGAGAGUAUGAGAGAGAGAUAGACUCUCAGAGAGAGAGAGAGAGAGAGUAUUUACAGUGUACAUGUAAUUGUUAUUGAUUGUCUUACUUCCAUGAUUGAACCAUAUAUAUAUUUCAAUAAUGCCACAUUGCAUUAGAAAUAUUGCUGACAAAGAUGUUGAGAGAGAUCAUGGAGAGAGAGAGAGAGAGAGAGAGAGUAUGACAAGCCAUAACAAAUGUUAUAGUUAUAUGUCAUUUCCCACUUAAUAAGUUGUUAUAGCUGUUAUCAUGGUAAUGUUUUGACCAUGUCUCAGAUACUGCAUGUGCCCAUAAAAAAGUGUAAUCUAGGACACACCCUUUUGUUUUGAUAAUGACAGCAUUUAGCUUUGUAAUGAUAGCUAGUGUAUCUUUUUUCUUCUAAUCUACAGAUUUACCUGCGGCUUCCAGAUGAUCUGAAGAUCGGGAAUAUAGAAAAUAUUGUCAAUUUGAUAUUGCUAAUGACCCAGUCAUAUCUGCUGAAGCCCAGAAGUUUCCAGACCAUGACAUUAAUAAAUAUUUCUUGAAUGGAAUGCAUGAGGAUUAGAAUGGAACCUUAUUCUGCCUUUUUACCAACUCACACCAUCUUUUCAAGAUUUAUGGAGCCAACCACAGAAGAAUUUGUUCUAAACACAUCAUUCAUAACAUUCUUAUUUAUGUUGCAUAACUUUACAUGUUACUGGAUGAAUUGUGUUCACAUAAUGAAAACCAGCAAACUUUUUAUCGAGUGCACUUAAUUUGUAUUUUUCCUACCCAUCCAUCUAACAUAUGUUUUUAUAUAACAUAUUCAUAUACAUGAAACAUUUUUGGAAACAGCUAUUUUUUUAAAAUUGGAAUUUAGCCUUUCUAUUUUAUACAAGUUUUUUUUAUAGGGACUUGAACACGAUUUUAGAUCAAAAUUUUGAUUUCAAUUUCUUUAUGCAUAAAAUGAUAUACUUGCACAUUUUGAAUAAUUGACCAUAAUUUGAAUGUUAGAAGUCAAGUUAUAAAAGAGAUACAGGGGUAAGAAUUUAUUGUUAUGUAGACAAAGCUCGAGUCUUAUGUUUGUUUAAAAAUAAUAUAAAGUAUGAAAAUAACACUUCUUUGAGAAAAUGAUUCAUAGAAAAGAAGGUAAACUGAUUCGAUGUGAUCAUAAAUGAUAUUAUUAAUAAAAAAAAGCAACAUUUGAAUGAAACUUACACCAAUAAAACACAUUCUUUUCAUUGUUUAAAUGGUAUGGAGUUUUAAUUACCUUUCAUAUGAAAAAUGACAUCUAAAUCUUAAAUUGCUGUACAUUAUAUCCUAUUCAUCUAAUGCAUCACUUUAUUUAUGUUGAACUUCGUGUCUAUUAGUACAAUGAUUUUUUUAGAAUGAUAUAUGCAAUUUCAUUAAUUUAUUUUUCAUUUUAAGAAAAUUCAUUUUAAAAAAGAUCUCUAGACUUACAACCUGUGUAUUUUUUUUUUCAGUUUAAAUCACACAGUGUAUUAAUUGAAUGUAGUUGUGUAGAUUUAUGUACAUGUACCUACAAGCAAUAUACAUUUAAUAUUCACCAGGUACAUGUACCGCCUACUAUAUUUGAUGAAUAAAUGUACUUCUUUCAUGCCUUUUUCAUGCCUUUUACUCAUUGUUAUAUGUAUUAAUUUAUUUAUAAUUAAAAUACUUUGAAAACUUU